rnacentral:rRNA from 1 species
AAAGGGCGUGUAGGCGGUCUUUCAAGUCCGAUGCUAAAGACUGGGGCUCAACCCCAGGGGUGCGUUGGAUACUGUGAGGCUAGACGGUCGGAGGGGGUAGCGGAAUUUCCGGAGUAGCGGUGAAAUGCGCAGAUACCGGAAGGAACGCCAAUAGCGAAGGCAGCUACCUGGACGACUUGUGACGCUGAGGCGCGAAAGCGUGGGGAGCAAACCGGAUUAGAUACCCGGGUAGUCCACGCCCUAAACCAUGAGUGCUGGGUGUCCGGCUUCUGCUGGGUGCCGUAGCUAACGCGCUAAGCACUCCGCCUGGGAAGUACGCACGCAAGUGUGAAACUCAAAGGAAUUGACGGGGGCCCGCACAAGCGGUGGAGCAUGUGGUUUAAUUCGAAGCGACGCGAAGAACCUUACCAGGCCUUGACAUGCCCGGAACCCCUCUGAAAGGAGGGGGUGCCCGCAAGGGAGCCGGGACACAGGUGCUGCAUGGCCGUCGUCAGCUCGUGUCGUGAGAUGUUGGGUUAAGUCCCGCAACGAGCGCAACCCCUAUCCCUAGUUGCCAGCAGUUCGGCUGGGCACUCUAUGGAGACUGCCUGCGAAAGCAGGAGGAAGGCGGGGAUGACGUCUGGUCCGCAUGGCCCUUACGGCCUGGGCGACACACGUGCUACAAUGCCAAGGACAGAGCGCUGCUACCUCGCGAGAGGACGCCAAUCGCAAAAACCUUGGCUCAGUUCGGAUUGGAGUCUGCAACUCGACUCCAUGAAGCCGGAA